ACCUGCUUAGGUCAGUUGGUAGAGCGCUCCACUUAAAAUAGAGAGGUGUCUGGUUCAAUAUCAGAACCAGGCG
rnacentral:tRNA from 1 species